AUUGAACGCUGGCGGCAUGCCUUACACAUGCAAGUCGAACGGCAGCACGGGUGCUUGCACCUGGUGGCGAGUGGCGAACGGGUGAGUAAUACAUCGGAACAUGUCCUGUAGUGGGGAAUAGCCCGGCGAAAGCCGGAUUAAUACCGCAUACGAUCUACGGAUGAAAGCGGGGGACCUUCGGGCCUCGCGCUAUCGGGUUGGCCGAUGGCUGAUUAGCUAGUUGGUGGGGUAAAGGCCUACCAAGGCGACGAUCAGUAGCUGGUCUGAGAGGACGACCAGCCACACUGGGACUGAGACACGGCCCAGACUCCUACGGGAGGCAGCAGUGGGGAAUUUUGGACAAUGGGCGAAAGCCUGAUCCAGCAAUGCCGCGUGUGUGAAGAAGGCCUUCGGGUUGUAAAGCACUUUUGUCCGGAAAGAAAUCCUUGGCCCUAAUACGGUCGGGGGAUGACGGUACCGGAAGAAUAAGCACCGGCUAACUACGUG
rnacentral:rRNA from 1 species